rnacentral:rRNA from 1 species
AACGCGAAGAACCUUACCUAGACUUGACAUCUCCUGCAUUACUCUUAAUCGAGGAAGUCUCUUCGGAGACAGGAUGACAGGUGGUGCAUGGUUGUCGUCAGCUCGUGUCGUGAGAUGUUGGGUUAAGUCCCGCAACGAGCGCAACCCCUAUUGUUAGUUGCUACGAAAGAGCACUCUAGCGAGACUGCCGUUGACAAAACGGAGGAAGGCGGGGACGACGUCAAAUCAUCAUGCCCCUUAUGGCCUGGGCUACACACGUACUACAAUGGCAUCUACAAAGAGCAGCGGCACUGUGAAGUGGAGCGAAUCUCAUAAAGGAUGUCUCAGUUCGGAUUGAAGUCUGCAACCCGACUUCAUGAAGUUGGAAUCGCUAGUAAUCGCGGAUCAGCAUGUCGCGGUGAAUACGUUCCCGGGUCUUGUACACACGC